UACGUAGGGGGCGAGCGUUGUCCGGAAUCAUUGGGCGUAAAGCGCGUGUAGGCGGCCCGGUAAGUCCGCUGUGAAAGUCCAGGGCUCAACCCUGGGAUGCCGGUGGAUACUGUCGGGCUCGAGUCCGGAAGAGGCGAGUGGAAUUCCUGGUGUAGCGGUGAAAUGCGCAGAUAUCAGGAGGAACACCAAUGGCGAAGGCAGCUCGCUGGGACGCGACUGACGCUGAGACGCGAAAGCGUGGGGAGCAAACAGG
rnacentral:rRNA from 1 species